ensembl:lncRNA
GCUGAAAAUAAAGAUAAACAUUGCAUACUUCCUUGCGAAAGAAGAAGCACCUUUCGUCAAAUUUGGGCCAAUUAUCAGACUCCACCACAAAAACAGAGUUCACAUUAAUCCCACAUACGACAAUGAUGUAAGAUGUGCGGGGAUGAUUAGUCAGGUUUCUGACAUGAGAGAGAGCCUGUCAGCGAAGCUGAAAGCCGAGAAUUAUCUUGCCGUUGUAAUAUACAGAGACACUGAUAUAUAUAUACACCGAAUGCGAGAUUGUCUACCUGCGCUUGUUGGAGGAUGGGAAGCCAGUCAAUCUCCUGGUCAGACAACAGACCCUUGAGCACUCCCAUGCCAUUAUGUUUUGGAUGCAACCAAGGCUACAUUUCAUGCUGUUUGCCAAGAGGAGGAUGGAGGGUCAUGGAUGAAGAAGUUCAUCUCCUUCAGGGGCAGAUGGUGCCUCCAUGGGGGAGUGAUUGCCCACCUGAGAGAGGCAGGGGGGCGUAUAGUCACAAUCCACUGUAUGCCACAUAGAUUGGGGUACAACAUGGCUGCAAUCCAGAAGGAGUGGCAGGGGCUGAAAAUUCUGGUCAGUCACAAGUCCCACAGUGGCCUGUGCGAGGCCAUGUUGACAAAAGACCCCUACAGGCACGAUUACAAGAACAUACUGGAGUUGGUGCAGCUUAUGCUGGUGCUGCCCAUUUUAG